AUGAACGCUAGCUACAGGCUUAACACAUGCAAGUCGAGGGGCAUCAGGAAGAAAGCUUGCUUUCUUUGCUGGCGACCGGCGCACGGGUGAGUAACACGUAUCCAACCUGCCCUUUACUCGGGGAUAGCCUUUCGAAAGAAAGAUUAAUACCCGAUAGUAUAAUGAUUCCGCAUGGUUUCAUUAUUAAAGGAUUCCGGUAAAGGAUGGGGAUGCGUUCCAUUAGGUUGUUGGUGAGGUAACGGCCCACCAAGCCUUCGAUGGAUAGGGGUUCUGAGAGGAAGGUCCCCCACAUUGGAACUGAGACACGGUCCAAACUCCUACGGGAGGCAGCAGUGAGGAAUAUUGGUCAAUGGGCGCUAGCCUGAACCAGCCAAGUAGCGUGAAGGAUGAAGGCUCUAUGGGUCGUAAACUUCUUUUAUAUAAGAAUAAAGUGCAGUAUGUAUACUGUUUUGUAUGUAUUAUAUGAAUAAGGAUCGGCUAACUCCGUGCCAGCAGCCGCGGUAAUACGGAGGAUCCGAGCGUUAUCCGGAUUUAUUGGGUUUAAAGGGAGCGUAGGUGGACUGGUAAGUCAGUUGUGAAAGUUUGCGGCUCAACCGUAAAAUUGCAGUUGAUACUGUCAGUCUUGAGUACAGUAGAGGUGGGCGGAAUUCGUGGUGUAGCGGUGAAAUGCUUAGAUAUCACGAAGAACUCCGAUUGCGAAGGCAGCUCACUGGACUGCAACUGACACUGAUGCUCGAAAGUGUGGGUAUCAAACAGGAUUAGAUACCCUGGUAGUCCACACAGUAAACGAUGAAUACUCGCUGUUUGCGAUAUACAGUAAGCGGCCAAGCGAAAGCAUUAAGUAUUCCACCUGGGGAGUACGCCGGCAACGGUGAAACUCAAAGGAAUUGACGGGGGCCCGCACAAGCGGAGGAACAUGUGGUUUAAUUCGAUGAUACGCGAGGAACCUUACCCGGGCUUAAAUUGCAGUGGAAUGAUGUGGAAACAUGUCAGUGAGCAAUCACCGCUGUGAAGGUGCUGCAUGGUUGUCGUCAGCUCGUGCCGUGAGGUGUCGGCUUAAGUGCCAUAACGAGCGCAACCCUUAUCUUUAGUUACUAACAGGUUAUGCUGAGGACUCUAGAGAGACUGCCGUCGUAAGAUGUGAGGAAGGUGGGGAUGACGUCAAAUCAGCACGGCCCUUACGUCCGGGGCUACACACGUGUUACAAUGGGGGGUACAGAAGGCAGCUAGCGGGUGACCGUAUGCUAAUCCCAAAAUCCUCUCUCAGUUCGGAUCGAAGUCUGCAACCCGACUUCGUGAAGCUGGAUUCGCUAGUAAUCGCGCAUCAGCCACGGCGCGGUGAAUACGUUCCCGGGCCUUGUACACACCGCCCGUCAAGCCAUGAAAGCCGGGGGUACCUGAAGUGCGUAACCGCAAGGAGCGCCCUAGGGUAAAACUGGUGAUUGGGGCU
rnacentral:rRNA from 1 species